rnacentral:misc_RNA from 1 species
UUAACAAUUGUUAUUUAUAUAAUUCAGACAAAAGCCAACAAAAAUUCAAAUGGUUUCAUUACGCGGGGGCUGGCCACUCCAGGUUCACUGCAGAUGACCAACUAGGACUGCCUCCGCAGGAAACCCUAACCAAAAUACUGUGAGUACAGGUUAAGGCUACCCAACACGAACAGCCCGUGACCCCACGGAAGCAACAGGAAAGGUACACGGAGAGGGGUUUGGAAUUGUAAAUCUAAGCUUGCAAAGAAGCAUAGUACAGGCCCUUCUAAUGAUCCUUCCGCAGGUUCACCUACGGAAA